GUUAACACAUUUGUAUUUGUUUGAUUAAUUCUUGUGUCUUUCAGCCUGUUUCUGCAUAUCACCAUGAGUGAUUCCUUGAUACUCAGAUUUAUCAUCAAGAUCUCAAUUAUAAGCUCAAGUCUUGAUGACAACUUGAUGAUCUGCAGGAAGCACCACCAUGUAUAGAAGGCCAAGAGCACUCUGGAAUCAGUCAAGGCUCAUAGGAACUCCAAUCUUCCCAACUGUGAGAGGGCCUUGCUCCGGUGACUGUUGGUAAAAUGGAGUGAGGCAUACCAGGAUAUGCCUGGUUUUACUCUUGGGAAGGAGGUUGAACAGUGCAAUAUUUCUUCUAUAGGAUUGCAGUGACCAGACAUGCUACUGUAACUCUCAUGGUCAUGUGCUGGAAUUAGCAGAUAUUCAACAAUUUGGUCAUCUUGCUGACCUAUUGAUAUUAGAAGACCGCAACAGCUCUGCAAAGCAAGUUGGAAAACAGAAUCCAUGAAUCUGGCAGUGACCGGAAACCAGUUGGAAGACUUUGGUCUGUGACGUAGAGGAGUGGGCAGAGGUAGCAGAAGCAAAGACAACAAAAAACAGAAGUGAUAUGGAUGUCUUCGUCAUAUGGCAUGACUCUGCUGACCCAGCAACAAAGAGGAGGGUGUUCAACAU